AGUGAACGCUGGCGGCGUGCUUAACACAUGCAAGUCGAACGAGAACGGAUUAUAGCUUGCUAUAAUUGUCAGCUAAGUGGCGCACGGGUGAGUAAUAUAUAGAUAACCUGCCCUCUAGAAAGGAAUAACAGUUGGAAACGACUGCUAAUGCCCUAUAUGCCUUUAAUACAUAAGUAUGCAAGGGAAACGCUUUAGUGCUAGAGGAUGGGUCUGUAUGGUAUCAGCUUGUUGGUGAGGUAAUGGCUCACCAAGGCUAUGACGCCUAACUGGUUUGAGAGGAUGAUCAGUCACACUGGAACUGAGACACGGUCCAGACCCCUACGGGAGGCAGCAGUGGGGAAUAUUGCACAAUGGACGAAAGUCUGAUGCAGCAACGCCGCGUGGAGGAUGACACAUUUCGGUGCGUAAACUCCUUUUAUAUAGGAAGAUAAUGACGGUACUAUAUGAAUAAGCACCGGCUAAACUCCGU
rnacentral:rRNA from 1 species